AAAUGUACCGGGGCUCAAGCAUGGCACCGAAGCCGGGGACCUACCCAGCAAUGGGUAGCGUGGUAGGGGAGCGUCCUGCACGGGGUGAAGGCAGCGGGACAACCGUUGUUGGACUGUGCAGGAGUGAGAAUGCUGGCAUGAGUAGCGAGAAACAUGUGAGAACCAUGUUCGCCGAAAAUCUAAGGUUUCCGACGGAAGGUCAGUCCGCGUCGGGUUAGUCGGGCCUAAGCCGAGGCUGGGAAGCGUAGGCGAUGGACAACCGGUUAAUAUUCCGGUACCGAUUGGUGGAUGGUGCGCGAUGCACCCGAGGAAAGCUCAGCCUCUGAGUGGAUUGAGGUGGCAAGCGGUUAAUGACCGCGAUGCCGGGCCGCAAGGCCGGAAGUGAGUGGCACCCCGGGUCGAGAAAAGCCGCGCAUCGGUAAAAUCAGUCGCCCGUACCAUAAACCGACACAGGUAGAUGCGUAGAGAAUACGAAGGCGAACGGGAGAACGCGCGCUAAGGAACUCGGCAAAAUGGCCCCGUAACUUCGGGAGAAGGGGCGCCGGUGAAAGCCGGCCGCAGUAAAGUGGCUCUACCGACUGUUUACCAAAAACACAGGUCUGUGCAAACGCGCAAGCGGACGUAUACGGGCUGACGCCUGCCCAGUGCCGGAAGGUUAAGAGGAGGGGUUAACGCUCUGAAUUGAAGCCCCGGUGAACGGCGGCCGUAACUAUAACGGUCCUAAGGUAGCGAAAUUCCUUGUCGGGUAAGAUCCGACCCGCACGAAAGGCGUAACGAGUGGAGCACUGUCUCAGCGCGCGACCCGGCGAAAUUGAAGUACGUGUGAAGAUGCGCGUUACCCGCAGCAGGACAAAAAGACCCCAUGGAGCUUUACUGUAGUUUGUCAUUGCGUUCGGACGGCACUUGUGUAGGAUAGCUGGGAGGCUAUGAAGCGAGGGCGCUAGCUUUCGUGGAGCCGACGGUGAAAUACCAGCCUGGUGGCGUCUUGGCCCUAACCUAAAGUUGUGAAGCCAACAUAGGGACAGUGGCAGAUGGGCAGUUUGACUGGGGCGGUCGCCUCCUAAAGAGUAACGGAGGCGUUCAAAGGUGGGCUCAGGCUGAAUGGAAACCAGCCGUUGAGUGCAAAGGCACAAGCCUGCUUGACUGCAAGGCCAACGCGCCGAGCAGAGACGAAAGUCGGACUUAGUGAUCCUACGGUGCCGAUUGGAAGGGCCGUAGCUUACCGGAUAAAAGCUACCCUGGGGAUAACAGGCUAGUCUUGCCCAAGAGUUCACAUCGACGGCAAGGCUCGGCACCUCGAUGUCGGCUCAUCGCAUCCUGGGGCUGGAUAAGGUCCCAAGGGUUGGGCUGUUCGCCCAUUAAAGCGGUACGUGAGCUGGGUUCAGACCGUCGUGAGACAGGUCGGUCUCUAUCCGCUGUGGGCGUAAGGUGUUUGAGAGGGUCUGCCCCUAGUACGAGAGGACCGGGGUGGACGGAGCGCUCGUGUGCCGGUUGUGUCGCCAGAUGCAGCGCCGGGUAGCGAUCUCCGGAGAGGAUAACCGCUGAAAGCAUCUAAGUGGGAAGCCAGCCUCAAGAUGAGACACCUCACUGGGAAACCAGGUAAGAUCGCUGGGAGACGACCAGCUGGAUAGGCCGGACGUGGAAGGGCAGUAAUGUCUGCAGCGAACCGGUACUAAUGAUCGAGGGCU
rnacentral:rRNA from 1 species